rnacentral:rRNA from 1 species
GAUGAACGCUGGCGGCGUGCCUAAUACAUGCAAGUCGAGCGAACGGACGAGAAGCUUGCUUCUCUGAUGUUAGCGGCGGACGGGUGAGUAACACGUGGAUAACCUACCUAUAAGACUGGGAUAACUUCGGGAAACCGGAGCUAAUACCGGAUAAUAUUUUGAACCGCAUGGUUCAAAAGUGAAAGACGGUCUUGCUGUCACUUAUAGAUGGAUCCGCGCUGCAUUAGCUAGUUGGUAAGGUAACGGCUUACCAAGGCAACGAUGCAUAGCCGACCUGAGAGGGUAAUCGGCAACACUGGAACUGAGACACGGUCCAGACUACUACGGGAGGCAGCAGUAGGGAAUCUUCCGCAAUGGGCGAAAGCCUGACGGAGCAACGCCGCGUGAGUGAUGAAGGUCUUCGGAUCGUAAAACUCUGUUAUUAGGGAAGAACAUAUGUGUAAGUAACUGUGCACAUCUUGACGGUACCUAAUCAGAAAGCCACGGCUAACUACGUG